rnacentral:rRNA from 1 species
GACGAACGCUGGCGGCGUGCUUAACACAUGCAAGUCGAACGGUGAAGGGACCGGUUUUUGCUGGUUCUGGAUGAGUGGCGAACGGGUGAGUAACACGUGAGUAACCUGCCCCCUUCUUCUGGAUAACCGCAUGAAAGUGUGGCUAAUACGGGAUAUUCUGCGCCUGCUGCAUGGUGGGUGUGGGAAAGAUAUUGUUUCGGUGGGGGAUGGGCUCGCGGCCUAUCAGCUUGUUGGUGGGGUGAUGGCCUACCAAGGCGGUGACGGGUAGCCGGCCUGAGAGGGUGGACGGUCACACUGGGACUGAGACACGGCCCGGACUCCUACGGGAGGCAGCAGUGGGGAAUAUUGCGCAAUGGGCGCAAGCCUGAUGCAGCGACGCCGCGUGAGGGAUGGAGGCCUUCGGGUUGUAAACCUCUUUCGCCAGUGAAGCAGGCCUGUCCCUUUUGUGGGUGGGUUGACGGUAGCUGGAUAAGAAGCGCCGGCUAACUACGUG